rnacentral:rRNA from 1 species
GUGGGGAAUAUUGGACAAUGGGCGAAAGCCUGAUCCAGCCAUGCCGCGCGUGUGAAGAAGGUCUUCGGAUUGUAAAGCACUUUAAGUUGGGAGGAAGGGCAGUAAGUUAAUACCUUGCUGUUUUGACGUUACCGACAGAAUAAGCACCGGCUAACUUCGUGCCAGCAGCCGCGGUAAUACGAAGGGUGCAAGCGUUAAUCGGAAUUACUGGGCGUAAAGCGCGCGUAGGUGGUUUUGUAAGUUGGAGGUGAAAUCCCCGGGCUCAACCUGGGAACUGCCUCCAAAACUGCAUGACUAGAGUACGGUAGAGGGUAGUGGAAUUUCCUGUGUAGCGGUGAAAUGCGUAGAUAUAGGAAGGAACACCAGUGGCGAAGGCGACUACCUGGACUGAUACUGACACUGAGGUGCGAAAGCGUGGGGAGCAAACAGGAUUAGAUACCCUAGUAGUCC